CUGGUAUAUUAUCAUUUUCUUAAUGAGGUGUUAUCUAUAGCAAAGUAUUUGCUUAAUCACUCGCGUUUUGUUUGCUUGAUUUUGGCCAUUCCUCACUCAAGACAAGUAUCUGUUGAAAAAAAAGGAUGUCUCCAGAAAGUCAAUGAGUCCUAUAAAGAAAAUUGUAGCAGACAUUUUCUGAAGAAAAACUAAUGUGUCAAAGGCCUCCUUCAGAUUUGACCCCAGGCUUCUUCUACUUCCUGUCCACGUGGAGCAAUUGCAGUUCAGCUGGUUCCUGAGUUGCUACUGUCCAGCCCCCAUGUGCACGUGCUGGUCUAAGAAGAGGGCAGGGAUAUUGAGAAAGCAACAGGGAAGGGGCAACAGUGACCAUCUCUGCCCAAGUGUGAAGGCCUCCCUG
rnacentral:lncRNA from 10 species